UGGAGAGUUUGAUCCUGGCUCAGGACGAACGCUGGCGGCGUGCUUAACACAUGCAAGUCGAACGGAAAGGCCCUUUCGGGGGUACUCGAGUGGCGAACGGGUGAGUAACACGUGGGUGAUCUGCCCUGCACUUUGGGAUAAGCCUGGGAAACUGGGUCUAAUACCGAAUAUGAUCACGGGCUUCAUGGUCUGUGGUGGAAAGCUUUUGCGGUGUGGGAUGGGCCCGCGGCCUAUCAGCUUGUUGGUGGGGUAAUGGCCUACCAAGGCGACGACGGGUAGCCGGCCUGAGAGGGUGACCGGCCACACUGGGACUGAGAUACGGCCCAGACUCCUACGGGAGGCAGCAGUGGGGAAUAUUGCACAAUGGGCGCAAGCCUGAUGCAGCGACGCCGCGUGGGGGAUGACGGCCUUCGGGUUGUAAACCUCUUUCAGCAUCGACGAAGCGCAAGUGACGGUAGAUGCAGAAGAAGCACCGGCCACUACGUGCCAGCAGCCGCGGUA
rnacentral:rRNA from 1 species